rnacentral:rRNA from 1 species
AGUGAACGCUGGCGGUAGGCCUAACACAUGCAAGUCGAACGGCAGCACAGUAAGAGCUUGCUCUUACGGGUGGCGAGUGGCGGACGGGUGAGGAAUACAUCGAAAUCUACUUUUUCGUGGGGGAUAACGUAGGGAAACUUACGCUAAUACCGCAUACGACCUACGGGUGAAAGCAGGGGAUCUUCGGACCUUGCGCGAUUGAAUGAGCCGAUGUCGGAUUAGCUAGUUGGCGGGGUAAAGGCCCACCAAGGCGACGAUCCGUAGCUGGUCUGAGAGGAUGAUCAGCCACACUGGAACUGAGACACGGUCCAGACUCCUACGGGAGGCAGCAGUGGGGAAUAUUGGACAAUGGGCGCAAGCCUGAUCCAGCCAUACCGCGUGGGUGAAGAAGGCCUUCGGGUUGUAAAGCCCUUUUGUUGGGAAAGAAAAGCAGCAGGUUAAUACCCUGCUGUUCUGACGGUACCCAAAGAAUAAGCACCGGCUAACUUCGUG